rnacentral:rRNA from 1 species
CCUACGGGAGGCAGCAGUGGGGAAUAUUGCACAAUGGGGGAAACCCUGAUGCAGCGACGCCGCGUGAGUGAAGAAGUAUUUCGGUAUGUAAAGCUCUAUUAGCAGGGAAGAAAAUGACGGUAUCUGACUAAUAAGCACCGGCUAACUACGUGCCAGCAGCCGCGGUAAUACGGAGGGGGCAAGCGUUAUCCGGAUGUACUGGGUGUAAAGGGAGCGUAGACGGGAGCACAAGUCUGGAGUGAAAUGCCGGGGCUUAACCCCGGAACUGCAUUGGAAACUGUGCAGCUAGAGUGCAGGAGAGGUAAGUGGAAUUCUUGGUGUAGCGGUGAAAUGCGUAGAGAUUAGGAGGAACACCAGUUGCGAAGGCGGCUUACUGGACUGUAACUGACGUUGAGGCACGAAAGCGUGGGGAGCAAACAGGAUUAGAUACCCUUGUAGUC